GAUGAACGCUAGCGACAGGCCUAACACAUGCAAGUCGAGGGGCAGCACAAGGAGCAAUCUGAGGUGGCGACCGGCGCACGGGUGAGUAACACGUAUGCAACCUACCUGUAAGCGGGGAAUAACCCGUUGAAAGACGGACUAAUACCGCAUAAUACUGAGAUCUGCAUGGAUAUUCAGUUAAACAUUUAUGGCUUACAGAUGGGCAUGCGCAUGAUUAGAUAGUUGGAGAGGUAACGGCUCCCCAAGUCAACGAUCAUUAGGGGUUCUGAGAGGAAGGUCCCCCACACUGGUACUGAGACACGGACCAGACUCCUACGGGAGGCAGCAGUGAGGAAUAUUGGUCAAUGGGCGAGAGCCUGAACCAGCCAAGUCGCGUGCAGGAAGAAUGUCCUAUGGAUUGUAAACUGCUUUUGCAGGGGAAUAAAGUGAGCCACGUGUGGUUUUUUGUAUGUACUCUGCGAAUAAGGAU
rnacentral:rRNA from 1 species